CCUACGGGAGGCAGCAGUGAGGAAUAUUGGUCAAUGGACGAGAGUCUGAACCAGCCAAGUAGCGUGAAGGAUGACUGCCCUAUGGGUUGUAAACUUCUUUUAUAUGGGAAUAAAAUGUUCCACGUGUGGGAUUUUGUAUGUACCAUAUGAAUAAGGCUCGGCUAACUCCGUGCCAGCAGCCGCGGUAAUACGGAGGAUCCGUGCGUUAUCCGGAUUUAUUGGGUUUAAAGGGAGCGUAGGUGGAUUGUUAAGUCAGUUGUGAAAGUUUGCGGCUCAACCGUAAAAUUGCAGUUGAAACUGGCAGUCUUGAGUACAGUAGAGGUGGGCGGAAUUCGUGGUGUAGCGGUGAAAUGCUUAGAUAUCACGAAGAACUCCGAUUGCGAAGGCAGUUCACUGGACUGCAACUGACACUGAGGCUCGAAAGUGUGGGUAUCAAACAGGAUUAGAUACCCGAGUAGUC
rnacentral:rRNA from 1 species